CAAAAGGAAAGAGCGAAAAAUGUGGGGUUCUGAACCAACUCACUUCAUUUUUCAACAUAAAUUUUGUUUUUUGUUCUUUUCUUUUUUCAAUCUUUG
rnacentral:ribozyme from 1 species